UGCUCGCUCCGAGGCCGCCGUGUGCGCCUGAGGCUGUUGGCUGCGGUCUUGAAACGGGCUCUGGGAGCUUCCUCUGCGCGGUCGGCCCUGGCUGAGGCGUCCCGGGCUGCGCGCGGGGCUCGGCGCUGCGCAGUGUCCGGUGUCCUCUCGGUCCGGAGCUUCUCCAGAGGAGGAGCGGCUCGUGCGCCCCCAGACCUCCGGUACUGGGAGACUCGGGCCCUCCUGUAAGAGACCUGAGCGCGGAGCGUUAUGGGCACCCGGUGAAUGAGCAAAUGGCAGGGAAAACCGUGCAGCCCCAUGGACUGCGGGCUCUUCCUUCACGACUAGCAAAAGCUUUGACACCCUUUCUCCUGCGUACGCGUGUCUGUGUGCGUGAAAACACAAUAUGUCACCUCCAAAUAUAUUUCCUUGACACGGUUCAAGACAGUUACUCAGAAGGACUGGAAAUAGAAGAAUAGCUGAAAAGCUGUCUUUUGUGGGGGAGAUUUGCAUCUGUGGAGAGAAUCUACACUGAUGCGGCCAGGCCUCCUCUGAGGCCCUCCUUGCCUGAUCUGGGAAGAGUAACAGUCUGACGCCUUUAAAGGCCUGAAGGGAACAUUCACCAUCUGUUCUCUCUCAGGGCUGCUACCUGUGAGGUUUCAUCUGUAGAACAAGGCCACCUUUGCUAGCCAGGCCUCCUCUGCUCUCCCUCCUGUAACCGGUCUUGCCACUGGUCACCUGAUUUUCCACCAUAAACUGUGGCCAUACUUUGAGCCCAUGUUCUUUCUGUAACCUCAAGAUGGUAUAUAAGCUUCCGAACCCCAUUGGGAGGUUGGGGUCAUCACUCUGGUUCUCCCUGUGUGCAUGAAUAAAUCUGUAUGCCUUUUUUCUUACUAACCUGGCUUUUGUCAGUUGAUUUUCUGUGAACUCAGAAUGCAGAAAAGUUUUUCUCUAGGCUCCUACAGUUUUGGUGCAGUCGGUAGGAUAACUAAAGUCACUCUCCUGGGAGCCUCCGUCAGGGGAACCCAGGAGCCGACAAGCUGGCAGAAAGAAGGGUAAGAAGGUCUUAGCAGCCAGGCUCCCGGCCUCUCUGGAAUCUUGUCAAGCCGACGGUAAAAAUGUCUGUUUACCUUGUUUUCCUCUUCAAAGUUUUAAUGAGAGAAAUGUAUUUAUGUGAUUAGUUUUGUAUUCAUAUUGUUUGAUUGCUUU
rnacentral:lncRNA from 1 species